AGUGAACGCUGGCGGUAGGCCUAACACAUGCAAGUCGAACGGCAGCACAGUAAGAGCUUGCUCUUACGGGUGGCGAGUGGCGGACGAGUGAGGAAUACAUCGGAAUCUACUUUUUCGUGGGGGAUAACGUAGGGAAACUUACGCUAAUACCGCAUACGACCUACGGGUGAAAGCAGGGGAUCUUCGGACCUUGCGCGAUUGAAUGAGCCGAUGUCGGAUUAGCUAGUUGGCGGGGUAAAGGCCCACCAAGGCGACGAUCCGUAGCUGGUCUGAGAGGAUGAUCAGCCACACUGGAACUGAGACACGGUCCAGACUCCUAAGGGAGGCAGCAGUGGGGAAUAUUGGACAAUGGGCGCAAGCCUGAUCCAGCCAUACCGCGUGGGUGAAGAAGGCCUUCGGGUUGUAAAGCCCUUUUGUUGGGAAAGAAAAGCAGCAGGUUAAUACCCCGCUGUUCUGACGGUACCCAAAGAAUAAGCACCGGCUAACUUCGUG
rnacentral:rRNA from 1 species